GCCCACGUAGCUCAACCGGCAGAGCACGUCAUUCGUAAUGACGGGGUUGGGGGUUCAACUCCCCCCGUGGGCU
rnacentral:tRNA from 1 species